rnacentral:hammerhead_ribozyme from 1 species
AUCCAGCUGACGAGUUCUAAAUAGAAGGAAACUUGCGUCCAGGAU